rnacentral:rRNA from 1 species
CCUACGGGGGACAGCAGUGGGGAAUAUUGCACAAUGGGGGAAACCCUGAUGCAGCGACGCCGCGUGAGUGAAGAAGUAAUUCGUUAUGUAAAGCUCUAUCAGCAGGGGAGAAAAUGACGGUACCUGAGUCAGAAGCCCCGGCUAACUACGUGCCAGCAGCCGCGGUAAUACGUAGGGGGCAAGCGUUAUCCGGAUUUACUGGGUGUAAAGGGAGCGUAGACGGCAGUGCAAGUCUGGAGUGAAGGCGGGGGCUCAACCCCCGGACUGCUCUGGAAACUGUACGGCUGGAGUGCAGGAGAGGUAAGUGGAAUGUAUAGUGUAGCGGUGAAAUGCGUAGAUAUUAGGCGGAACACCAGUGGCGAAGGCGGCUUACUGGACUGUAACUGACGUUGAGGCUCGAAAGCGUGGGGAGCAAACAGGAUUAGAUACCCCUGUAGUC